rnacentral:snoRNA from 1 species
CUACCAAAAAAUGAUGUUGAAGAGUGGAAGGUUUACCUUUACCAAUUCAGGCUAUUUUGGAGAAUAGAGAAAAGGUUACAUUUCCCAGUGGGCUAUAUACCACUUAGUAUACUAUAGUAACCUACAUU